rnacentral:rRNA from 1 species
UACGUAGGGGGCAAGCGUUGUCCGGAUUUAUUGGGCGUAAAGAGCGUGUAGGCGGCCAUUCAGGUCAGCUGUGAAAACUCGAGGCUCAACCUCGAGACGUCGGUUGAAACCGUCUGGCUAGAGUCCGGAAGAGGAGAGUGGAAUUCCCGGUGUAGCGGUGAAAUGCGCAGAUAUCGGGAAGAACACCCGUGGCGAAGGCGGCUCUCUGGGACGGUACUGACGCU